rnacentral:rRNA from 1 species
GGCCUAACACAUGCAAGUCGAGCGGUAGCACAGGAGAGCUUGCUCUCUGGGUGACGAGCGGCGGACGGGUGAGUAAUGUCUGGGAAACUGCCUGAUGGAGGGGGAUAACUACUGGAAACGGUAGCUAAUACCGCAUAAUGUCUACGGACCAAAGUGGGGGACCUUCGGGCCUCAUGCCAUCAGAUGUGCCCAGAUGGGAUUAGCUAGUAGGUGGGGUAAUGGCUCACCUAGGCGACGAUCCCUAGCUGGUCUGAGAGGAUGACCAGCCACACUGGAACUGAGACACGGUCCAGACUCCUACGGGAGGCAGCAGUGGGGAAUAUUGCACAAUGGGCGCAAGCCUGAUGCAGCCAUGCCGCGUGUGUGAAGAAGGCCUUCGGGUUGUAAAGCACUUUCAGCGAGGAGGAAGGGUUCAGUGUUAAUAGCACUGUGCAUUGACGUUACUCGCAG